rnacentral:rRNA from 1 species
GUGGGGGAUAUUGCGCAAUGGGGGCAACCCUGACGCAGCAACGCCGCGUGAAGGAUGAAGGUUUUCGGAUUGUAAACUUCUUUUAUUAAGGACGAAAAAUGACGGUACUUAAUGAAUAAGCUCCGGCUAACUACGUGCCAGCAGCCGCGGUAAUACGUAGGGAGCAAGCGUUGUCCGGAUUUACUGGGUGUAAAGGGUGCGUAGGCGGCUUUGCAAGUCAGAUGUGAAAUCUAUGGGCUCAACCCAUAAACUGCAUUUGAAACUGUAGAGCUUGAGUGAAGUAGAGGCAGGCGGAAUUCCCCGUGUAGCGGUGAAAUGCGUAGAGAUGGGGAGGAACACCAGUGGCGAAGGCGGCCUGCUGGGCUUUAACUGACGCUGAGGCACGAAAGCGUGGGUAGCAAACAGGAUUAGAUACCCCAGUAGUCC